GCUAAAAACCUAGCUCAAAUUUACGCAAAUGCCACAACCAAACAACUGUAACUAAACAAAACAUUUUUAAAUUUUAGUAAAGGCGAUUGAAAAAUACCUAGAAGCUAUAACAAUAGUACCGCAAGGGAAAGGUGAAAUAAAAAUGAAACAACUUUAAAGCAAAGCUAAGCAGAGACUUAACCUCGUACCUUUUGCAUCAUGGUCUAGCUAGUUCAACCAAGCAAAACGCAAUUGUAGUUUGACACCCCGAAACUAGGUGAGCUACUUCAAAACAGCCUUUAAGGGCCAACCCGUCUCUGUUGCAAAAGAGUGGGAAGAUUUUCAAGUAGAGGUGACAGACCUACCGAACCUAGAGAUAGCUGGUUAUUCAGGAAAAGGAUUUAAGUCCUACCUUAAGUUUUUUUAUACCACAAAAUAUAACAGUAGACUUAAGAGCUAUUCAAAUAAGGUACAGCCUAUUUGAAACAGGAAACAACCUUAAACACAGGGUAAUGAUAUUCUAAACGUGACCAAGUGGGCCUAAAAGCAGCCAACUUUUAAACAGCGUUAAAGCUCCAUCACUUUAUUUAACUAAUAACAUUAAUAUUACAAAACCCUUCACCACUACUGAAUGACUCCAUAACCAUAUGGAGAACACUAUGCUAGAACUAGUAACAAGAAGAAGACCUCCUCCAAAAUGUAAGUGUAAGCCAAAAUGAACAACUCACUGGCACUUAUCGUCUCUGAACUUAAAGUAGUAACUUCACAAGAAAAUUCUACCCCCACAAACGUUAACCUUACACCAGAACAUUACCGGAAAGAUUAAAAAAAGAGGAAGGAACUCGGCAAAUUUUAACCCCGCCUGUUUACCAAAAACAUCGCCUCCUGAAAUAACCAUAGGAGGUCCAGCCUGCCCAGUGACAAAGUUAAACGGCCGCGGUACCCUAACCGUGCGAAGGUAGCGCAAUCACUUGUUCUUUAAAUGAGGACUAGUAUGAAUGGCAUCACGAGGGUUAUACUGUCUCCCUCUUUUAAUCAGUGAAACUGAUCUUCCCGUGAAGAAGCGGGAAUACAUCUAUAAGACGAGAAGACCCCAUGGAGCUUUAAACUCAGUAUCAACUGCCCUCCCAAUAUAUCCACCUAAUUAAGCAGACAUGACUACUAGUUUUCGGUUGGGGUGACCGCGGAGCAAAACAAAACCUCCACGAUGAAAGGAAUUAACCUCCUAAUCAAAGAGCUACAUCUCUAAGAAUCAACAAAUUGACAUUUAUUGAUCCAAUUUUUUGAUCAACGAACCAAGUUACCCUGGGGAUAACAGCGCAAUCCAUUUCAAGAGCCCCUAUCGACAAAUGGGUUUACGACCUCGAUGUUGGAUCAGGGUAUCCCAGUGGUGCAGCCGCUACUAAAGGUUCGUUUGUUCAACGAUUAAAACCCU
rnacentral:rRNA from 1 species